rnacentral:rRNA from 1 species
ACGGGUGAGUAACACGUGGAUAACCUUCCUAUAAGACUGGGAUAACUUCGGGAAACCGGAGCUAAUACCGGAUAACAUAUUGAACCGCAUGGUUCAAUAGUGAAAGGCGGCUUUGCUGUCACUUAUAGAUGGAUCCGCGCCGUAUUAGCUAGUUGGUAAGGUAACGGCUUACCAAGGCAACGAUACGUAGCCGACCUGAGAGGGUGAUCGGCCACACUGGAACUGAGACACGGUCCAGACUCCUACGGGAGGCAGCAGUAGGGAAUCUUCCGCAAUGGGCGAAAGCCUGACGGAGCAACGCCGCGUGAGUGAUGAAGGUCUUCGGAUCGUAAAACUCUGUUAUCAGGGAAGAACAAAUGUGUAAGUAACUGUGCACAUCUUGACGGUACCUGAUCAGAAAGCCACGGCUAACUACGUGCCAGCAGCCGCGGUAAUACGUAGGUGGCAAGCGUUAUCCGGAAUUAUUGGGCGUAAAGCGCGCGUAGGCGGUUUUUUAAGUCUGAUGUGAAAGCCCACGGCUCAACCGUGGAGGGUCAUUGGAAACUGGAAAACUUGAGUGCAGAAGAGGAAAGUGGA